UUGUCUCAGGUAUAAAAGGAGCUUAGGGCAUCAUAAUCCCCGAUCGGUUAAAGAAGUCUUUAAGGAUUUUAGAUGAAAGCACGCCGGGACAAUCAAGGCUCUCACCACUGAUGUUGAUAAAUUCUUUCAAUAAUGUGAUCCUCGUGAAUUCUGUUUCUUAUAUGGGAUUGGUGGGGUUUUGGUUUUAAAAAUGUAAUAGUGACUACAGUAUCAAUUAGGUUUCUGGAUGCUGUUAAAUUGUAUAUUUUGAGUAUUUGAGAGUUGCAAUUACUCAGGUUUCACU